rnacentral:rRNA from 1 species
CAGAACGAACGCUGGCGGCAUGCCUAAUACAUGCAAGUCGAACGAACUCUUCGGAGUUAGUGGCGCACGGGUGCGUAACGCGUGGGAAUCUGCCCCUUGGUUCGGAAUAACAGUUGGAAACGACUGCUAAUACCGGAUGAUGACGAAAGUCCAAAGAUUUAUCGCCAAGGGAUGAGCCCGCGUAGGAUUAGCUAGUUGGUGAGGUAAAGGCUCACCAAGGCAACGAUCCUUAGCUGGUCUGAGAGGAUGAUCAGCCACACUGGGACUGAGACACGGCCCAGACUCCUACGGGAGGCAGCAGUAGGGAAUAUUGGACAAUGGGCGAAAGCCUGAUCCAGCAAUGCCGCGUGAGUGAUGAAGGCCUAGGGUUGUAAGCU